AUUGAACGCUGGCGGCAGGCCUAACACAUGCAAGUCGAGCGGAUGAAGGGAGCUUGCUCCUGGAUUCAGCGGCGGACGGGUGAGUCAUGCCUAGGAAUCUGCCUGGUCGUGGGGGAUAACGUCCGGAAACGGGCGCUAAUACCGCAUACGUCCUGAGGGAGACAGUGGGGGAGCUUGGGACCUCACGCUAUCAGAUGAGCCUAGGUCGGAUUAGCUAGUUGGUGGGGUAAAGGCUUACCAAGGCGACGAUCCGUAACUGGUCUGAGAGGAUGAUCAGUCAGACUGGAACUGAGACACGGUCCAGACUCCUACGGGGGGCAGCAGUCGGGAAUAUUGCGCGAUGGGCGAGAGCCUGAUCCAGGCAUGCCGCGUGUGUGAAGAAGGUCUUCGGAUUGGAAAGCACUGUAAGUUGGGGGGAAGGACAGUAAGUUAAUACCUUGCUGUAUUGACGUUACCAGCAGAAUAAGCACCGGCUAACUUCGUG
rnacentral:rRNA from 1 species